rnacentral:rRNA from 1 species
GAUGAACGCUGGCGGCGUGCCUAAUACAUGCAAGUCGAGCGAACAGACGAGGAGCUUGCUCCUCUGACGUUAGCGGCGGACGGGUGAGUAACACGUGGAUAACCUACCUAUAAGACUGGGAUAACUUCGGGAAACCGGAGCUAAUACCGGAUAAUAUAUUGAACCGCAUGGUUCAAUAGUGAAAGACGGUUUUGCUGUCACUUAUAGAUGGAUCCGCGCCGCAUUAGCUAGUUGGUAAGGUAACGGCCUACCAAGGCAACGAUGCGUAGCCGACCUGAGAGGGUGAUCUGCCACACUGGAACUGAAACACGGUCCAGACUCCUACGGGAGGCAGCAGUAGGGAAUCUUCCGCAAUGGGCGAAAGCUUGACGGAGCACCGCCGCGUGAGUGAUGAAGGUCUUCGGAUCGUAAAACUCUGUUAUUAGGGAAGAACAAAUGUGUAAGUAACUAUGCACGUCUUGACGGUACCUAAUCAGAAAGCCACGGCUAACUACGUG